rnacentral:rRNA from 1 species
UACGUAGGGGGCAAGCGUUGUCCGGAAUCAUUGGGCGUAAAGAGCGUGUAGGCGGCCAGAAAAGUCCGCUGUGAAAACUCGAGGCUCAACUUCGAGCUGUCGGUGGAAACUUUCUGGCUAGAGUCCGGAAGAGGAGAAUGGAAUUCCUGGUGUAGCGGUGAAAUGCGCAGAUAUCAGGAAGAACACCCGUGGCGAAGGCGGUUCUCUGGGACGGUACUGACGCUGAGACGCAAAAGCGUGGGGAGCGAACAGG